GGGAAGUGCGGGGAAGUGUGGGCGGGAAGACGUAGGUGGGAGGCGGUGUCGGGAGUUAUUGGGCGUAAAGAGCGGGUGGGCGGCCUGGUAGGUCAGCGGUGAAAACUCGAGGCUCAACCGCGAGACGCCGGUUGAAACCAUCAGGCUAGAGUCCGGAAGAGGAGAGGGGAAUUCCCGGUGUAGCGGUGAAAGGCGCAGAUAUCGGGAAGAACACCCGUGGCUAAGGCGGCGCUCUAGUACGGUACUGACGCUGAGACGCGAAAGCGUGGGGAGCGAACAGGAUUAGAUACCCUGGUAGUC
rnacentral:rRNA from 1 species